AGUAUGUGAGCCUGUGCUCACAGCAACUAACUGAGAUUUUUCCAAGUCAUCAGUGACAGCUGCCAUAUUGACACAGUGGCUCUUGCAGGGCCCUCAAGGACUGCUCAGCCUUUCAGAGAAGGUGGAGAAAGAGGUGGUGACCCUUGCUGUGCUGCCAUCUGUGGAAUUUCCAGUCUCCCAUCCCUCCACUGGAGAAAGCCUCCUUGCAAAGAUGGAAAAUCACUGACUAGGAUUAACAACAUCAAGAUUUAAAAAUGAAUGAUUUUGCGAAUAAACUUUCUAAAUAUUGAUAUGAGACA
rnacentral:lncRNA from 1 species